rnacentral:rRNA from 1 species
ACGAACGCUGGCGGCGUGCCUAAUACAUGCAAGUCGAACGGUCUUUCUAUGGAAGCUUGCUUCCACUGAGAAGAUAGUGGCGAACGGGUGAGUAACACGUGGGUAACCUGCCCAUAAGAGGGGGGAUAACAUCCGGAAACGGGUGCUAAUACCGCAUAGUUUUCUUGAUCGCAUGAUCGGGAAAGGAAAGACGGCCUUUGUGCUGUCGCUUAUGGAUGGACCCGCGGCGUAUUAGUUAGUUGGUGAGGUAACGGCUCACCAAGACGAUGAUACGUAGCCGACCUGAGAGGGUGAUCGGCCACAUUGGGACUGAGACACGGCCCAAACUCCUACGGGAGGCAGCAGUAGGGAAUCUUCCGCAAUGGACGAAAGUCUGACGGAGCAACGCCGCGUGAGUGAAGAAGGUUUUCGGAAUCGUAAAACUCUGUUGUCAGAGAAGAACAAGUUGGAGAGUAACUGCUCCAGCCUUGACGGUAUCUGACCAGAAAGCCACGGCUAACUACGUGCCAGCAGCAGC